rnacentral:tRNA from 1 species
ACAUUAAAGCCAUUACGUAAUAAGAAGUGUGUAAAUAAUUAGAAAGUGAAGAAUACAAGCGGAAAGAGGCGGAAAAUCACAGACAAAUAAUUUUUGUGAAAAUAAUGCUAAUGAUAACGAAAAUAAAAUAAUAAUGAAUGUCGUUUGUUAAGUUAUAUCCGGCCAUGGAAGAGAUACGGGGGUCACGAAUUUUUUCUGUAUUCAUAAAUUGGGGUGAAAUGUACGAAUUCCUAUGACUUCAGCUAUAUGUAGGAGACGGGAUCGAACUCUGUUGGGAAAUAAUGGAGGUAUACCAUAGAUCACUCGAAAUGAUUCCGAUUUAUCUACAUUAUGACCGCCAUCAAUUAGAUGUGCCAAGAUAAAUUUGCGUAUUGUUUUUAUCUGGACCUUCAUAAAGCAUGGUGGUAUAUGUUCACUCAUUCGUUGCU